rnacentral:rRNA from 1 species
GAUGAACGCUGGCGGCAUGCCUAAUACAUGCAAGUCGAACGGAGAAGGAAGGUGCUUGCAUCUUCCGGAUCAGUGGCGAACGGGUGAGUAACACGUAGGUAACCUGCCCAUGUACCCGGGACAACGGUUGGAAACGACUGCUAAAACCGGAUAGGCAUAUGGAAGGCAUCUUCGAUAUGUUAAAGGGGCCACGGCCCUGGACAUGGAUGGACCUGCGGUGCAUUAGCCAGUUGGUGAGGUAACGGCCCACCAAGGCGACGAUGCAUAGCCGACCUGAGAGGGCAACGGCCACAUUGGGACUGAGACACGGCCCAA